CCCUAAACUAGUUAUUAUAUCACAAAGUUAUAGACUAUAAAAGUAUAUAUACCCUAUUAAAUCGUAGUAAAAUAGAAUCAUCUAUCAGAUUCAGACUUACGUUUAAGAUUCCUAUUGCCUUAGACUUAGUAUUGGUCAGUUGAGUAUAAGUAUCUAAUUCUAAAAAGUUCUGACUUUAUUUUUUUAAAAUUUCCUAUUGACUUCAUAUCAUCGUCCAAACUGUUCCAUAAUUUAACUGCGCGGCAAUGGAAAGUCUUUUGACCGGUACUUGUUUGAAAUUUUGGAAUGUCUGGAUAUUCUUGAAUGCUUGCUCGUUGAUAAAACUGUCGGCUGAAGUAUGGGGGAGACAGCCGCUUCAUAGAUUUUGAACUUCAUAGACUCAAGAACUUGUGACUUGUCAACUGUAUGGGGGUAAUAUGGUCAAACUUGUGGGUAUUUGUUAUGAUCCUUGCAGCAAAGUUAGUUUGGAUAAGUUGUAGUUUAUUCACGUUUUUGGCCGAUGUAUACUUAACAAUAAUACAACCGAGUAGUAGAAUAAUUUACUGAGUACCCGGCAGAUUCAGAAGAUGUCGAAUUUUGUUG